rnacentral:rRNA from 1 species
UAGGGAAUCUUCCACAAUGGACGCAAGUCUGAUGGAGCAACGCCGCGUGAGUGAAGAAGGUUUUCGGAUCGUAAAGCUCUGUUGUUGGUGAAGAAGGAUAGAGGCAGUAACUGGUCUUUAUUUGACGGUAAUCAACCAGAAAGUCACGGCUAACUACGUGCCAGCAGCCGCGGUAAUACGUAGGUGGCAAGCGUUGUCCGGAUUUAUUGGGCGUAAAGCGAGCGCAGGCGGAAUGAUAAGUCUGAUGUGAAAGCCCACGGCUCAACCGUGGAACUGCAUCUGAAACUGUCAUUCUUGAGUGCAGAAGAGGAGAGUGGAAUUCCAUGUGUAGCGGUGGAAUGCGUAGAUAUAUGGAAGAACACCAGUGGCGAAGGCGGCUCUCUGGUCUGCAACUGACGCUGAGGCUCGAAAGCAUGGGUAGCGAACAGG